rnacentral:tRNA from 1 species
UAGUUCAGUGGUUUGAGCAUUGGCCUGCUAAGCCUAGAGUUAUGAGUUCAAUCCUUGU